rnacentral:lncRNA from 1 species
CUGGGUGAGAGCUCAGAUUUCUAAUCUCUAACAUUCUGAAAAUAGGUGAAAUGUCCUGAAGGCUGUCAGUGGUUCUCUGUCACAAAAAGAAUAAUAAGUAAAUAUGUGUAUUAUAUGUAUGUAUAUUUAUAUGCACACACAUAUGGACACACACAUAUACACCUACAAAGGAUAUUUGCUUCGUGAAAACUUAUAAAAUGGGAAUCCUGUAUAAAAUUAAUGAAGUACUAAUAGAACUUAAAAUCUAUCAUAAAAAGAACACAUCGCUUCAGAGUUAUCUAUAACACCUGUAGUCGUGGAAUCUCGGUCUGCUUCGAUUCUGUAAAAGUUUGCUGGACAAGGUUCUCUCAGACGGGAUCAUUUAGGUUCAUGUUUAGGUACAGGAUUCAGUUAAAAGAGAAUAGUUGCUAUUUUUUUUUUUUAAAGAUUGGCACCUGAGCUAACAUCUGUUGCCAAACUUCUUUUUUUCUUCUUCUUCUCCUCAAAGCCCCAGUACAUAGUUGUAUAUUCUAGUUGUGGGUCCUUCUAGUUGUGGCAUGUGGGACGCUGCCUCAGUGUGACCUGAUGAGCAGUGCCAUCUCUGCGCCUGGGAUCUGAACCAGCGAAACCCUGGGCCGCUGAAGCAGAGUGCGGGAACUCAACCACUCAGCCACGAGGCCGGCCCCAUUAGUUACCUUUUUGAAAUGGCUAAUGGACGUCCAGCCUCUGGAUAAGGUCCAAAAUGCUGUAAUUGUACAAUUUAAAGGAAAAGGAAAAAGCUCUCCCGGCAGUUUCUACUUAUCCUGCUCAGUAGAUGGCACACAACUGAGCUGCUGCUGCACUGCCAUUCUUUCGUUAUUCGGUGAGGACGUGGGUGCUGAGGAGCGACCUGGGAUGCCAAGGUGCGCACAGUGAGGCUGCCCACAGAGAUGGAGCCCAGGACGGCCGGGGCAGGAGGGAGUUUCUGUCCAGGGGGAGCAAGCUGUAGGGUCUAGGCAAGGGUGAGGCAGUGAGGCACCUGAGAGUGAUCGCAUCCUUGAAUUUGGUGCCCCAGCACCCCGGCCCUGGGAAAGGGUCUUGACAAGGUCUGUGCCAGUGAGCAAACACCAGCCACAAACCUGGGAAUCUUGAAGCCGGGAGGGUGAGUUGGAGAAGCCAAUCAAAUCAAAGGAAGAGCUAGACAGAGAAGUGUUUCUUUUCUACCUCAGGGCACUGGAUUCCAGCAGGUGUACAACCCUGACAUUCCCCACUAAUUUCCUCUUCUCCCAGGAGCACCCACAAAGAGGAAGGGACGAUUCUACGAGUCAAUAUGGAGUCAGUAGAGAAGAAAUAGGUGUGGGGGAAAGAACAAGCAAGAUCAGAAGGAAUUCUGUACACAAAGGCUGGGUGGUGGGCUGCUCCUCUGCAACAUUCCCUCUGCUGGGCUCGCCGGGGCUGGGCUGGGCGUCCUCCUGGGCCUCCUGCCAGGGCUUGAGAGCCAGCCAUGCUCCAGGGAGCGCUCACCUCUUGGUAGUCACUGCUCCCCUUGCACAGAGGCUGGGGGAGCCAGACCUAUGUGUUCAUUUCACAUAACUCAGCUUAAAUCUAUAACUGAACUGAAAUUUCUAUUUCAAGCUUCCAUUCCGCCUGACAGCAGAAAUAUAGUUCAGUAGACUGCAGAUGAGCUUACCUCUGGGUUUUUUCAUCAUUUCAGGUAAACUAUGAAUUCAGAACUUCUCCUUUCCCUCUCAUCUCCCCAGAGUGGCACUGAAGUUUAGGAGACAUGAUGUGAAGCGUCAGGUCUUUGGCCAUCAGCGCCCCUCUAGGCUGGCGUUCACUGCUGUGUCCACAUUCCCAUCGACUCGGAUCAUCAGUCCUGCACUUGCAGCGGCCUAUUCUGAUGGUGACGAUUCUUCCUGAGCCACGUCCUCACUCCUCUUAGGGACUGGGGAACUGUUGGAUGUUCCCCUGUGCCACUCUGGAGACUUGGGGGGAUGUGGCAGACGUGGGGCGCUGUCCUAGACGCAUCUAGUUGCCACUUCUACCCUCCCCUGUUCACCCUGGCCCCACCUGAGACGUGAGCACAGGUUCCUGUGCUCUCAGAUCCCCAAAACUCCCUGGACAUUCUAUGAGUCAUUGUGACUCCUCGCCGACCCCCCACCCUGGCACCCCAGCUGUAUCUUGGAGCCACUGUCGCUCUCUUAUUUGACCUCUCUCUUCAGCUUGGAGAAUUAUCUAACGCUAUGCUGUCCAACACAGUAGCCACUAGUCACAUGAGGCUACUGAGCUCUUAAAAUGUGGUUAGGCCAAAAUGAGAUGCACUGAAACUGAAAAUGCACACCAACUUCAGACUUAGUAUGAAGAAAAGAUUAUAAUAUCUCAUUAAUAAUUUUUAUAUAGUUUACACAUUGAAAUGAUAAUACUUUGG